AGGACGAACGCUGGCGGCGUGCUUAACACAUGCAAGUCGAACGGCAGCACGGGGGCAACCCUGGUGGCGAGUGGCGAACGGGUGAGUAAUGCAUCGGAACGUAUCCUUGAGUGGGGGAUAACGCAGCGAAAGUUGUGCUAAUACCGCAUAAGCUCUGAGGAGGAAAGCGGGGGACCGAAAGGCCUCGCGCAGCAGGAUGAGCCGAUGUCCGAUUAGCUGGUUGGUGGGGUAACGGCCCACCAAGGCGACGAUCGGUAGCUGGUCUGAGAGGAUGGUCAGCCACACUGGGACUGAGACACGGCCCAGACUCCUACGGGAGGCAGC
rnacentral:rRNA from 1 species